UACGGAGGAUGCAAGCGUUAUCCGGAAUUAUUGGGCGUAAAGCGUCCGCAGGUGGCACUUCAAGUCUGUCGUCAAAGACCGGGGCUUAACCCUGGAAAAGCGAUGGAAACUGAAAGGCUAGAGAGAGGUAGGGGUAGAGGGAAUUCCCAGUGCAGCGGUGAAAUGCGUAGAGAUUGGGAAGAACAUCGGUGGCGAAAGCGCUCUACUGGACCUCAUCUGACACUCAGGGACGAAAGCUAGGGGAGCGAAUGGG
rnacentral:rRNA from 1 species